rnacentral:rRNA from 1 species
AGUGAACGCUGGCGGUAGGCCUAACACAUUCAAGUCGAACGGCAGCACAGUAAGAGCUUGCUCUUACGGGUGGCGAGUGGCGGACGGGUGAGGAAUACAUCGGAAUCUACUUUUUCGUGGGGGAUAACGUAGGGAAACUUACGCUAAUACCGCAUACGACCUACGGGUGAAAGCAGGGGAUCUUCGGACCUUGCGCGAUUGAAUGAGCCGAUGUCGGAUUAGCUAGUUGGCGGGGUAAAGGCCCACCAAGGCGACGAUCCGUAGCUGGUCUGAGAGGAUGAACACACACACUGGAACUGAGACACGGUCCAGACUCCUACGGGAGGACGCAGUGGGGAAUAUUGGACAAUGGGCGAAAGCCUGAUCCAGCCAUACCGCGUGGGUGAAGAAGGACUUCGGGUUGUAAAGCCAUUUUGUUGGGAAAGAAAAGCAGCAGGUUAAUCCCCCGCUGUUCUGACGGUACCCAAAGAAUAAGCACCGGCUAACUUCGUG